rnacentral:rRNA from 1 species
GGAGGAAAAGAAACUAACAAGGAUUCCCUUAGUAACUGCGAGUGAAGAGGGAAAAGCUCAAAUUUAAAAUCUGGCAGUGUUUCGCUGUCCGAGUUGUAACCUAGAGAAGUGUAACCUGUGCUGGACCAUGUACAAGUCUCCUGGAAUGGAGCAUCGCAGAGGGUGAGAAUCCCGUCUUUGACAUGGACUGCCAGUGCAUUGUGGUUGUGCUCUCAACGAGUCGAGUUGUUUGGGAAUGCAGCUCUAAAUGGGUGGUAAAUUCCAUCUAAAGCUAAAUAUUGGCGAGAGACCGAUAGCGAACAAGUACCGUGAGGGAAAGAUGAAAAGAACUUUGGAAAGAGAGUUAAACAGUAUGUGAAAUUGUUGAAAGGGAAACGUUUGAAGUCAGUGAUGUUGGGUGGGGAUCARCCUGACAGAUUGUUGGGUGUAGUUCCUGGUUGACAGGCCAACAUGAGUUUUGACUGCCAGAAAAAGGGCAAGGGAAUGUGGCACCUUUGGGUGUGUUAUAGCCCUUGGUCGUAUGUGGUGGUUGGGACUGAGGAAAGCAGUGCGCCGAAAGGCAGGGUUUCGACCACAUUCGCRCUGAGGAUGUUGGCAUAAUGGCUUUAAGCGACCCGUCUUGAAACACGGACCAAGGAGUCUAACAUGCAUGCGAGUGUUUGGGUGGAAAACCCUUACGCGUAAUGAAAGUGAAAGUUGAGAUCCCUGUCGUGGGGAGCAUCGACGCCCGGACCAGAACUUUUGGGACGGAUCUGCGGUAGAGCACGUAUGUUGGGACCCGAAAGAUGGUGAACUAUGCCUGAAUAGGGUGAAGCCAGAGGAAACUCUGGUGGAGGCUCGUAGCGAUUCUGACGUGCAAAUCGAUCGUCAAAUUUGGGUAUAGGGGCGAAAGACUAAU